UUGGCCCUCAGUAUCGAAGCUAACGCGUUAAGUUCGCCGCCUGGGAAGUACGGUCGCAAGACUGAAACUCAAAGGAAUUGACGGGGGCCCGCACAAGCGGUGGAGUAUGUGGUUUAAUUCGAUGCAACGCGAAGAACCUUACCUGGCCUUGACAUGCACGGAACUUUCCAGAGAUGGAUUGGUGCCUUCGGGAACCGUGACACAGGUGCUGCAUGGCUGUCGUCAGCUCGUGUCGUGAGAUGUUGGGUUAAGUCCCGCAACGAGCGCAACCCUUGUCAUUAGUUGCUACAUUUGGUUGGGCACUCUAAUGAGACUGCCGGUGACAAACCGGAGGAAGGUGGGGAUGACGUCAAGUCCUCAUGGCCCUUAUAGGUGGGGCUACACACGUCAUACAAUGGCUGGUACAAAGGGUUGCCAACCCGCGAGGGGGAGCUAAUCCCAUAAAGCCAGUCGUAGUCCGGAUCGCAGUCUGCAACUCGACUGCGUGAAGUCGGAAUCGCUAGUAAUCGUGGAUCAGAAUGUCACGGUGAAUACGUUCCCGGGUCUUGUACACACCGCCCGUCACACCAUGGGAGCGGGUUCUGCCAGAAGUAGUUAGCCUAACCGCAAGGAGGGCGAUUACCACGGCAGGGUUCGUGACUGGGGUGAAGUCGUAACAAGGUAACC
rnacentral:rRNA from 1 species